GAUGAACGCUGGCGGCGUGCUUAACACAUGCAAGUCGAACGGAACUACUCCAAUGAGAGUCUUCGGAAAGGAUUUGGUUUAGUUUAGUGGCGGACGGGCGAGUAACGCGUGGGUAACCUGCCCUAUACAGGGGGAUAACAGUUGGAAACGACUGUUAAUACCGCAUAAGCGCACAGGAGCGCAUGCUCCGGUGUGAAAAACUCCGGUGGUAUAGGAUGGACCCGCGUCUGAUUAGCUGGUUGGCGGGGUAACGGCCCACCAAGGCGACGAUCAGUAGCCGGCCUGAGAGGGUGAACGGCCACAUUGGGACUGAGACACGGCCCAAACUCCUACGGGAGGCAGCAGUGGGGAAUAUUGCACAAUGGGGGAAACCCUGAUGCAGCGACGCCGCGUGAGCGAAGAAGUAUCUCGGUAUGUAAAGCUCUAUCAGCAGGGAAGAAAAUGACGGUACCUGACGAAGAAGCCCCGGCUAACUACGUG
rnacentral:rRNA from 1 species